rnacentral:rRNA from 1 species
UACGUAGGGGCCGAGCGUUGUCCGGAGUUAUUGGGCGUAAAGGGCGCGUAGGCGGCACCGCAAGUCGACUGUGAAAUCUCCGGGCUUAACCCGGAAAGGUCAGCCGAUACUGCGGGGCUAGAGUGCAGAAGGGGCAACUGGAAUUCUCGGUGUAGCGGUGAAAUGCGCAGAUAUCGGGAGGAACACCAGUAGCGAAGGCGGCUCGCUGGGCCAUACCCGACGCUGAGACGCGAAAGCGUGGGGGAGCAAACAGG